CUGGAGGACAGGUGCUGCAUGGCUGUCGUCAGCUCGUGUCGUGAGAUGUUGGGUUAAGUCCCGCAACGAGCGCAACCCUUGCCUUUAGUUGCCAGCAGUUCGGCUGGGCACUCUAAAGGGACUGCCGGUGUUAAACCGGAGGAAGUGGGGAUGACGUCAAGUCCUCAUGGCCUUUAUGACCAGGGCUACACACGUACUACAAUGGCCGAUACAAAGGGCAGCGACACUGCGAGGUGAAGCCAAUCCCGUAAAAUCGGUCUCAGUCCGGAUUGGAGUCUGCAACUCGACUCCAUGAAGUUGGAAUCGCUAGUAAUCGUGGAUCAGCAUGCCACGGUGAAUACGUUCCCGGGCCUU
rnacentral:rRNA from 1 species